rnacentral:lncRNA from 10 species
UCACUCCUUUCCUUGGGUAGUGCUGGCCAGGAGGGCUGCUGGGACCCUUCGGGAGUAGAGGGCAGCAGCCUCCCUCCCCUGUCCCCAGGCCUCUCGAAGCCCUUCAGAAUCAGCUGCCAUUAGAGACUUCUUGUCUCCCCAUCAGCCCCUCCCUCUCCCUCCCCCCUCCCUCCCACCUUCCUCCCCCACUCCCUCCCACCUUCCCAGCCAACCUGGCCCCUUUGCUGCAGCAGCAGAGCCCCUCCCAGCACCUGCUCCUGGUGGCCCAGGGCUCAACAGUGCCUCCAUUCUAGGGCUGCUUCUGUCUGUCGCUCAUGUUUUCUGCAGGCUGAAUUGUGUCCUGCUUAAAAUUCUUACCUUGCGGCCGGGCACAGUGGCUCACGCCUGUAAUCCCAGCACUUUGAGAGGCCGAGGCGGGUGGAUCACCGAUCGUGCCACUGCACUCCAGCCUGAGCGACAGAGUGAAAUCCGUCUCAACAAAAAAAAAAUCAUAUGUUGAAGCCUUAGUCGCUAAUACUUCAGAAUGUGACUGUUUUUGCAGAUGGAGUCUUUAAAGACAUAAUUAAAUUAAAAUGGAGUCAUAUGGGUGGGUCUUAAUCCAAUAGGACUGGUGUCCUUAUAACAAGAGGAGAUGAGGACACAGACACGCACAGAGGGAUAGCCCCGUUGGGGACACAGGGAGAUGGUGGCAUCUGCAAGCCCCGGAGAGAGGCCUCAGGAGGAACCAGCUCCACAGCACCUUGAUCUCGGACUCCAACCUCCAGGACUGUGAGAGAAUAAAUGUCUGUCAUUUAAGCUGCCCAGACUUGGUGCUUUCUUAUGGCAGCCUGAACAAAUUACUUAGGGUGGGAAUGUUUUCCUGACGUGUUUUUCCAAGUGUCUUUAAUGUAUGAAUGACAUGACUCCUUCUCUGUCAUACUUGAUUCAAAAUAUUUUCCCAGUUUUGUCAUUUGCCUUAUACUUUUUAAAACCACCUUCGUUGAGGGUGUCAUUGACACGCAGCCAUUGCCAUGUUUAAACUGCACGAUUCCAUCCAUCUUAAUCUACAUAGACAGCCAUGAAGCCAGCCCCAUCAGGAGACAAACACCCUCAUUGCCCCAAAAUUGUCCUCGUGCCCUGUGUGGCUCCCCAUCCCACCCUGGACCUCCCAGUCCCAAGCAACCAAUGCCCUGGUUGGUUUCUGCUUGUGUGUGUGUGUGUGUGUGUGUGUGUGUGAGAGAGAGAGAGACAGCGUCUCACUCUGGUUUCUACGUGUGUGUGUGUCUGUGUGUUUGAGACAGGGUCUCUCUCUGGUUUCUGCGUGUGUGUGUGUGUGUGUGUGUGUGUGUUUGAGACAGGGUCUCACUCUGGUUAGUUUCUGCGUGUGUGUGUGUGUGUGUGUGUUUGAGACAGGGUGUCACUCUGUUUCCCAGGCUGGAAUGUGGGCACGCCGGCGUGUGUGUGUGUGUGUGUGUGAGACAUGGUCUCUGGUUUCUGCUUGUGUGUGUGUGUGUGUGUGUGUGUGUGUGUGUGUGUUUGAGACAGUGUCUCACUCUGGUUAGUUUCUGCUUGUGCGUGUGUGUUUGAGACAGGGUCUCACUCUGUUUCCCAGGCUGGAGUGUGGGAGUGUGUGUGUGUGUGUGUGUGUGUGUGAGACAGGGUCUCUGGUUUCUGCUUUUGUGUGUGUGUGUUUGAGACAGUGUCUCACUCUGGUUAGUUUCUGCAUGUGUGUGUGUUUGAGACAGGGCCUCACUCUGUUUCCCAGGCUGGAGUGUGGGAGUGUGUGUGUGUGUGAGAGAGAGACAGGGCCUCACUCUGUUUCCCAGGCUGGAGUGUGGGAGUGUGUGUGUGUGUGUGUGUGUGUGUGUGUGUGUAUGUGUUGUGGGGUCACACACCUCAGAUGAUGUUUCUUUGUGUGUGUUGU